rnacentral:rRNA from 1 species
AGGACGAACGCUGGCGGCGUGCUUAACACAUGCAAGUCGAGCGGAAAGGCCCUUCGGGGUACUCGAGCGGCGAACGGGUGAGUAACACGUGAGUAAUCUGCCCCUAGCUCUGGGAUAGCUCCGGGAAAACCGGGAUUAAUACCAGAUAUUACCACUUUAGACAUCUCUUGUGGUGGAAAGAAUUUCGGCUAGGGAUGAACUCGCGGCCUAUCAGCUUGUUGGUGAGGUAGUGGCUUACCAAAGGCGACGACGGGUA